CGGCGGACGGGUGAGUAACGCGUGGGUAACCUACCUAUAAGACUGGGACAACUUCGGGAAACCGGAGCUAAUACCGGAUAAGAUAUCGAACCGCAUGGUUCGAUAGUGAAAGAUGGUUUUGCUAUCACUUAUAGAUGGACCCGCGCCGUAUUAGCUAGUUGGUGAGGUAACGGCUCACCAAGGCAACGAUACGUAGCCGACCUGAGAGGGUGAUCGGCCACACUGGAACUGAGACACGGUCCAGACUCCUACGGGAGGCAGCAGCG
rnacentral:rRNA from 1 species